rnacentral:rRNA from 1 species
AGAAUCAACGCUGGCGGCGUGCCUAACACAUGCAAGUCGAACGAGAAAGUGGUAGCAAUACCAUGAGUACAGUGGCGCACGGGUGAGUAACACGUGACUAACCUACCCUGGAGUGGGGGAUAAACUGAGGGAAACCUUAGCUAAUACCGCAUAAUACCUACGGGUCAAAGGAGCAAUUCGCUUCAGGAGGGGGUCGCGGCCGAUUAGUUAGUUGGCGGGUAAUGGCCCACAAGACAGUGAUCGGUA